CAACAGCCGCCGCGGCGCGCGCAAUAUCUCCGGUCGGAAAUUUCGCUCCACGGCGUAUUAUUCAAUACCGUGUUGUAGCAACGUACAAAAAAAUACGUACGUAAACUGUAUCGCGCGAUAAUAUUAUCGACAGCAGAGGGGGGUGGGGGAGGCCCGAUACGACGAUCUCGCGCCGUACGAAAACCGCCGAGCGUUAUUAAAAAAAAAAAAAAAAUGUACGAAUAAAAUAUACCGCGGGUGUUAUAGCCGGGUACGCUGGUUUUCGGGCCGACGACGUCAUAAUAACUAUGUAAAAUAGUAUCGUGCGAUAGUUACCUUUUCGCGCGAGCGUUGGUAUAUUACCGCGGUCGGUCGUAAACGCGAAAAAAAAAUAAAUAAUAAUAAUAAUAAAAAAUUACGACGAUAGCGUAACAGACUCGAAGGUGAACCGGGGUUACCGGCGGCGGCCGGUCGUUCGUCUUCCCGCAUCUGCUGCUCCAUUUUAAGACCGUUCAAGGUCGAUCGGCCGUCCGAUAUUUUACCGUCGCGAACCUAUGCGGACGAGGUGUACCGCAUUAGACGCGUGUAACGUUAUUAUAUUGUAUUGUUGUCGUUAUCGUUAUUACGACGUUAGUAUGGGCUUUGGGAAACCGUGUCUCGAG